rnacentral:tRNA from 1 species
GCCGGGGUGGUGGAAUGGUAGACACACGGGACUUAAAAUCCCGGGGGUCGCAAGGCCCGUGAGAGUUCGAAUCUCUCCCUCGGCA